UACGGGGGGAGCAAGCGUUGUUCGGAUUUACUGGGCGUAAAGGGCGCGUAGGCGGCGCAACAAGUCACUUGUGAAAUCUCCGGGCUUAACUGGGAGGGUGCGCCGAAAACUGGAAAGCUGGAGUGUGGGAGAGGUAAGCGGAAUUCCUGGUGUAGCGGUGAAAUGCGUAGAGAUCAGGAAGAACACCGGUGGCGAAGGCGCUCUGCUAGGCCGUAACUGACACUGAGGGACGAAAGCUAGGGGAGCGAAUGGG
rnacentral:rRNA from 1 species